rnacentral:rRNA from 1 species
AACGAACGCUGGCGGCAUGCCUAACACAUGCAAGUCGAACGAGAUCUUCGGGUCUAGUGGCGCACGGGUGCGUAACGCGUGGGAAUCUGCCCUUUGGUUCGGAAUAACAGUUGGAAACGACUGCUAAUACCGGAUGAUGACGAAAGUCCAAAGAUUUAUCGCCAGAGGAUGAGCCCGCGUAGGAUUAGCUAGUUGGUGUGGUAAAGGCGCACCAAGGCGACGAUCCUUAGCUGGUCUGAGAGGAUGAUCAGCCACACUGGGACUGAGGCACGGCCCAGACUCCUACGGGAGGCAGCAGUGGGGAAUAUCGGACAAUGGGCGAAAGCCUGAUCCAGCAAUGCCGCGUGAGUGAUGAAGGCCUUAGGGUUGUAAAGCUCUUUUACCCGGGAUGAUAAUGACAGUACCGGGAGAAUAAGCUCCGGCUAACUCCGUGCCAGCCGCCGCAGUAA